rnacentral:rRNA from 1 species
UAGGGAAUCUUCCACAAUGGACGCAAGUCUGAUGGAGCAACGCCGCGUGAGUGAAGAAGGCUUUCGGGUCGUAAAACUCUGUUAUUGAAGAAGAACGUGUGUGACAGUAACUGGUCAUGCAGUGACGGUAUUCAAUCAGAAAGUCACGGCUAACUACGUGCCAGCAGCCGCGGUAAUACGUAGGUGGCAAGCGUUGUCCGGAUUUAUUGGGCGUAAAGCGAGUGCAGGCGGUCUUUUAAGUCUGAUGUGAAAGCCUUCGGCUAACCGAA